rnacentral:piRNA from 1 species
UUAGAAUUAGUCAACGAGCCCACCUUCCU